rnacentral:rRNA from 1 species
GACGAACGCUGGCGGCGUGCUUAACACAUGCAAGUCGAACGGGCCUUGUCCCCUUUUUUUUUGGGGGUGGGGUUAGUGGCGAACGGGUGAGUAACACGUGAGUAACCUGCCCCUCACUUCUGGAUAACCGCUUGAAAGGGUGGCUAAUACGGGGUGUUCUGGCCUGCUCGCAUGGGUGGGUUUGGAAAGAUUCGACCGGUUUUGGUUGUUUUGGUGGGGGAUGGGCUCGCGGCCUAUCAGCUUGUUGGUGGGGUGAUGGCCUGCCAAGGCUUUGACGGGUGGCCGGCCUGAGAGGGGGGGCGGUCACACUGGGACUGAGACACGGCCCAGACUCCUACGGGGGGCAGCAGUGGGGAAUAUUGCACAAUGGGCGCAAGCCUGAUGCAGCGACGCCGCGUGAGGGAUGGAGGCCUUCGGGUUGUGAACCUCUUUCGCCAGUGAAGAAGGUCCUGCUCUUUGUGGUGGGGUUGACGGUAGCUGGGUUAAUGAAGCGCCGGCUAACUACGUG